rnacentral:lncRNA from 1 species
AACCAAUCCUAACGCGUCGCGCUCCCCGCUGAGCCAAUGGCGGCGUUGUCCGCGCGCGGCCACCUGACCCCGGGCGCCGUUGUUAUUAGGCGCGGCGAGGCGGGAGGCGCGCGGCAGCGGGGUUGGGCUCUGGCCGGGAGUCGACUGAAGGAGCGAGGACUGGGAGCGCGCGCGCGCGCGCGCCUGUGCCCGGACUGUUUGCCGCGGCCACUCGCUCUUUCUCCUCCCGCCUCAUGCCAGCGUCUUAUUCAGCCCCCUCAGCCCUUCCGCCCGCCUCCAGUCGCCAGCCUGCAGAAACAGCAACGGGCAGGACAGACCUCUCUGUCAUUCAGGUCCCUCCUUCGGUGAAUGAUACCAUGGUGAGAAAAGCCACUUGCAGAUGAAGUGAAUCCUUGAGAGAGAAUCAGAAGUGGAGCGAUCGUGGGCCUGGUAAGCUCUACUGUGAAGGACAGCAGGUGGGGUCUUUGGAGAAGUUUGUGCAGAGAUAAAAGGCAGCUUGAGACACACAGGCCAGUGCCGGCCGGGGCCCUGGGGUGUAGAGAUGCCAUGUGAUUUCACACCUCCUACAUGCUCCUAGGACAAAUCAGAGUGGGGUAGAAGAUGAGGGAGGGGAAGAAGCCAAAUAAGGGGGCAGUGGAGGUGACCUCCCAGAUGCAGCCUGGUCCCAAGAGGGGACCUUGGGGCUUGCCCAGCCUGGGGACAGAAGAGUGAGGUCUGGGUACUCCCACAGGGGCUACGCAU